GCUAAAGGAAUAGUGGGUAGAAGAAAGGAUUAGGAAAAGUUGACAAGGUGCGAACCAAAUUCCAUUUAAUCUGAAACAAGAAGCUUUCCCGUGAUUUUGCCUUGUAGGUGAUUAUACAUGAUAAACAUGCAACGUGUAUCUCAACAAAUCAGGAAAAGGGAUUUCAAAAGCUUUUAAUCAUAUAUAUAUGGAAAUAAAUAUGUUAAGACAUAUUGUAUUGUGCAAUGUGUAGGUAUAAAAUAAUAUAUACUGUUCCACAAGUAUAUAUAUAAUUUUGUGUUUUGUGUAUCCUUUAAGAAAAAAAAAGAAUGAAAGAAAAUAAUUCCUUAUGAUUCUGGAAAUGUAGACUAGUGUUUUAACAAGUAUAUCAAGUGUAAUUUGUUAGAGAUUUCAACAACCCAGAGUAGUGAGGGUCAUUAUAGACUCUGACUUCAUUUGUGAGAUUUUUAGCUCCUCUGUUCUAGACAAAGCCAUAGAUGUCAGGCUGAGAUAUUGUGUCUCCAUAGGAGGACCCUCUCGACCUGCUGAACCUGAUUCUGGUUCCAAGGUUAUAGCUCCUCUUUUCUAAGCUGAUGUCUGGUGAGACUCCCAACAUCAGACCCAUAAGUUUUCUACUCCUACGGGGAUCAGGAUACAGAGUAAACAACAGUUAAGCAGUCAAUAACACAAGUAUUCAAAUACAGUGUUUAUACUUUAUUAUUAGCACAUACAAUAUAUGAUGACCUCGGCAUUGACCACGUCAAUUAUCAGUCACAUCUGGAAUGAAAUUAGGUGAUUUUUUUCCUUCCUGUUCCUUUCUUGUGGAUGAAAGCCAUCACUUUCUUCAGCAAAUAUGAAGUUAUGGGAAGAAGCAUAUUUGAGGUCAGCACUGGGAAUGUUUUGUUUGAUGUCUUACUCCCUUAGGGCAUGAAACUGAGGGAAACAGCUACAGGUUGAUAUUGUUCACCUUAUUAUUCUGGGUGCUUUCAGAUGUUAUUGUAGCUGACAUGAAGCAAGUUUCCCAGGCUUGCAGAGUAAGUUUGGAGCUGAGACAAAAGGAUGGACCAUAUAGAGACUGCCAUAUCUGGGGAUCCAUCCCAUACUCAGCUCCCAAACACUGACACCAUUGCAUACACUAGCAAGAUUUUGCUGAAAGGACCCUGAUAUAGCUAUCUCUUGUGAGACUAUGCCGGGGCCUAGCAAACACAGAAGUGGAUGCUCACAGUCAGCUAUCGGAUGGAUCACAGGGCCUCCAAUGGAGGAGCUAGAGCAAGUACCCAAGGAGCUGAAGGGAUCUGCAAUCCUAUAGGUGAAGCUACUAUAUGAACUAGCCAAUACCCCCCCCCCCCCGAGCUCAUGUCUCUAGCUGCAUAUGAAUCAGAAGAUGGCCUAGUCAGCCAUCACUGGAAAGAGAGGCCCAUUGAUCAUGCAAACUUUAUAUGCCUCAGUACAGGGGAACGCCAGAGCCAAGAAGUGGGAGUUGGUGGGUAGGGGAGUGGGUGGGGGAGCAUGUGGGGGACUUUUGGGAUAGCAUUGGAAAUGUAAAUGAAAUAAAUACCCAAUUUUAAAAAAAAUUUAAAAAAAAGAUGUUGAUUUAAAAAAAAAAAAAACAGUACCUGGAAGUGGACACCAAUCCAUCUAUGGCCCACGCUGCUGCCUGUUCUCCUACACAUGUCCUGUGUCUGCAUUCAGUGUCCCAUCCAAGAUUUGUGUUUGCAUCCCCUCUGUGGUGCCACUGCCCAUACACAGGUCUCAGAGCUUGGGGUGAAAUUCAGCAAAACUGAAUGCAGCUGCCAAAAAAAAGACCCUUUCCUGAAUGCCCUAAUCACUCUGCUGGGAUUUUUACUCAUUUUCUUGCCUAAUUAUUAUUAAGAAUAUGCCAUCUGUGUAAAUUAGAUUUUAGGAUUUUGCCAUAGACUUUUGUGCAAUUUAACUUGGAAAAAAAGUAGCUUUUAAUAUCAUUCCAUGAUGGAAAAUAUUGUUCUGAUAUACAAGGCCUGAUUGUCCCCACCACGUGUUAAAAAUUCAAAUGCAGCUAAACAUUAAGGUUAAAUGAUGAUAUUACAACUUCUCCAGUUUGCAUUUUACAUCCAAUUGAAAACACAAACCUCUUGCCUCAUUAAUCCUUUGCAAUGCAAUUUUUACCCCCCUAAAUGAAAUGAUCCUUUUGGGACACAUUUAUAUCCUUUUAACAGCCGCCUGACAGUUCUGCUGAUGGAGUUUGUAUCCAACUUUGUUACUGGAUAGUGACAACUUGCCCUGACGGAUAUGUGUACGUAAUUAUUCUCUCGCAGUUAGAUUUAAUUAAUGCUUACCCUCAUUACGAUCUUGCAGCUAGCAGGCUUUCUCUGCAGGAGCAUUUAAUGGCAAAAGGAUUUCCUUUUUAGACCACAGAAACUCCAAAAGGCUUUGAACAACUAUUUUUUUUAAGAUGUAGAAG
rnacentral:lncRNA from 1 species